UGGCGCACGGGUGCGUAACGCGUGGGAAUCUGCCCUUGGGUUCGGAAUAACAGUUGGAAACGACUGCUAAUACCGGAUGAUGUCGUAAGUCCAAAGAUUUAUCGCCCAAGGAUGAGCCCGCGUAUGAUUAGCUAGUUGGUGAGGUAAAGGCUCACCAAGGCGACGAUCCUUAGCUGGUCUGAGAGGAUGAUCAGCCACACUGGGACUGAGACACGGCCCAGACUCCUACGGGAGGCAGCAGUAGGGAAUAUUGGACAAUGGGCGAAAGCCUGAUCCAGCAAUGCCGCGUGAGUGAUGAAGGCCUUAGGGUUGUAAAGUUCUUUUACCCGAGAUGACAAUGACAGUACCGGGAGAAUAAGCCCCGGCUAACUCCGUGCCAGCAGCCGCGGUAAU
rnacentral:rRNA from 1 species